rnacentral:rRNA from 1 species
CCUACGGGCGGCAGCAGUAGGGAAUCUUCCACAAUGGGCGAAAGCCUGAUGGAGCAACGCCGCGUGGGUGAAGAAGGUCUUCGGAUCGUAAAACCCUGUUGUUAGAGAAGAAAGUGCGUGAGAGUAACUGUUCACGUUUCGACGGUAUCUAACCAGAAAGCCACGGCUAACUACGUGCCAGCAGCCGCGGUAAUACGUAGGUGGCAAGCGUUACCCGGGUUUAUUUGGCGUAAAGGGAACGCAGGCGGUCUUUUAAGUCUGAUGUGAAAGCCUUCGGCUUAACCGGAGUAGUGCAUUGGAAACUGGGAGACUUGAGUGCAGAAGAGGAGAGUGGAAAUCCAUGUGUAGCGGUGAAAUGCGUAGAUAUAUGGAAGAACACCAGUGGCGAAAGCGGCUCUCUGGUCUGUAACUGACGCUGAGGUUCGAAAGCGUGGGUAGCAAACAGGAUUAGAUACCCCUUGUAGUC